rnacentral:rRNA from 1 species
UACGUAGGGUGCAAGCGUUAAUCGGAAUUACUGGGCGUAAAGCGUGCGCAGGCGGUUGUGUAAGGCAGAUGUGAAAUCCCCGGGCUCAACCUGGGAACUGCAUUUGUGACUGCACAGCUCGAGUGCGGCAGAGGGGGAUGGAAUUCCGCGUGUAGCAGUGAAAUGCGUAGAUAUGCGGAGGAACACCGAUGGCGAAGGCAAUCCCCUGGGCCUGCACUGACGCUCAUGCACGAAAGCGUGGGGAGCAAACAGG